ACACACUGGGUAGUAAAAUCACUAAGAUUUGUUUGAAAACAGUGACAUAACCAUUGUAAUGGGAAUCCAGUCCAUCAAUUGCAACACAAAUACCUGUCCAAAAUGUUAUUGUUUUUAUAAGGCAGAAACAGGAAAUCACUUUCCGCCUGAACGCACACACAUCCCAGGUUAACAGUAAAGGGUGUCUAAAGAGGUCAUGAUUAGUCUGUGCUGUGAUGACACUGAUGUUUGUUUAAGAUAAAAAGUUUAUAUGUGUGUUUUGACCAGCAGACAUUUUUAUUUUGCUCCUGCAAGCAUUACUAUUUUGUUAUCUGUCUGUUGAACAUCAUUAGACAUAUUACGAUUUCGUUUAAUCGCUGUUAAAUACUAAGGGGUAGCAUCAACUUUAUAUUAUCACUGACAAUUUUUCCAACUUUUGGCCUACCCCAUGAAUAAAGGAAUAGAGUAGAUUUCUAGAAAUUGAUUCAGAAUUUUCCCACGACAUCGAAUGCAUGCGAAGAAAAGGGGUGGGGGGUUUGGUGGCAUUGUUUGUUAUUAUAAGAUGGGUUCACCAUAUUUAUUCACAUAUUUGAUUAAUAGACAUGCUGUUAACAAAGAACAGUACUGCUAUAUCCAUCUGUAUGUUUUCCCAGUACUAGCCUAUCUCUCAUCGUAAUUUUAUAACAGCAAAAAGCUAUAAGGACUGUGUUUUAAACUUUGGGAAACAUGUUUUAUUUAAAAAAGAUGUUAUAAUUUUUGGUUUUACAUAUUCAUCAAUUGUAAAAAUGCAUUGGUAUAUAAAUUCAUUUAGUUUUUAAAAUUCCCUCAAAUUAUUCAAAAUGGCGGCUCUUGAGACCGGAAAUGCCCAGUUUUGAUGAUCGGUUAAUAAACUAACAGGUUGUAAGGAAAGAAAGUAUUACUAAAAUUUGUUUCAUUUAAAUGCAGAAUUCUUUAGAUAAUAUUAAGUAAAUAAUAUUGUUUUUUAACUAAAAUAAAUUUAAAGAUUUAUCCCGGUAUUAAUCGUGGCUGUAUCAUGAUUGGCCAAAAUUUCAAACUUUGACUUUCGUGAAUUCUGAUUGGACAAUUGCCAUUCCGCCAUCAAAUUUUGAAAUGGGCAAAGAAGACAGGAGUUGUUGUGAAGAUUUUCUUGAUUUUUUCAAGAAAUAUGCAGAAUCACAGCGUGUUGUAUGUAGUAAUGAAACUGCAAGCAGUGGUUUCAUAAAGAUAGACAUGCUUAAGACCCGGAUGAUAUGGCUUUAGUUGUGGAUGACCAUUUCCAUUCAGGAAAAAAUCCCAACCAAGUCCAGCUAGCAGACUGUACACCAGAUUGAAGAUACAUCAUUAAUACAAGAUGAAAAAAAUUAAUGGAGGACGAGGAUAAUACUAUGAAAGAGAUCAGAUGCAAGAGCAACCGUUCCCAUAGAAAUACAUGCAGCCAUGUCAACAGAAACCAGUUUUCACCUGCCAGGUGCUGGUCACAUAUAUAUUCAACAUGGGAACAGAUUCAAGAAUCAGAUCCAGUUGUUUGCUGAUAAAUUACUGCAGGUCAUUGGUAUCAUCUAGAACCAGGACUGUUUUAAAAAUCAUACUAGUAUGUUUGGAACAAAAUCAGGCUAGUAUAUGUUAGGAAUUUAACCUAAAACAUGAUUUAUGAAGGUUUUGGUCAAAUUUUGGUUUACAAAAUAAUGUUUUUCAAACUUUCUAUUCAAAUUUAACAAGAACAUUAGACACACAUGUAAUCCCAAAUGCUUUUAUGUUAGAUUAUUGCCUAUAGGGUCUGUAAUGAUUUGUGAUAAUUAUGUAAACAAUAAAAUGCUUUCUUUGGUGAUAUAUGCGGGAUAUGAAUGUAGCAACAUUGCAGAAAAAAUACAUUACCCGCAUUAGCGAGUUAUGUAAAUUUUUUUCUGCAAUCAUUGCUCCCUUCAUUUCCUGCAUGAAUCAACAAAGAAAGCAUUAUGUUGUUUAUAUUUACACCUUUCUUUUAACAAAUUAAUAAAUUGUUUGUAAAGAGUAAGUUAAAUUUACUAUAUUAUUCUUUAUAAUGUGCAUCAGUACGUUAGCUAAAAGAAACAGCCAAAUUGUCUUCAAUGGGAAUGUGAGUCUGAUAUCAUCCCGAUUAUUUCAGUGAUUUUUCUAAGGUCAUUGUAGGUUUCAACUAAUCGUUAAACAAGGCGUUAACUAUAAGUUUCCAUUAGAAAUGGAGGAAAGCAUACUCAUUAGAUGUAAAUAUAAUUCAGUAAACAUACUGAGUUCGUUUGCUCACAUGAACAGAUAUGAUUUUAAAUUCCUAUUCAAGAGCAAAAACAAUUUGAUGAAAAGUUCUUUAUGUCAACAUUAGGGACUUUUUUUCAUCAGUAUAACACCUGUACAUGUACCUGGGGUUUUUUUUUAUCUGAAGUUUAUGAUACAGAUAGAUAUUUUUUGCCUACAUCUGUAAUUUUUCUGUGUAACUUUUCUGUACCUAAAUGAUAACUUUUUUGUACCUACAUCUAUAACUUUUCUGUACCUAAACAAUAACUUUUCUGUAACUUUAUGUAUAACUUUUCUGUACCUACAUCUAUAACUUUUCUGUACCUAAAUGAUAACUUUUUUGUAACUAUAUGUAUAACUUUUCUGUACCUAAAUGAUAACUUUUCUGUAACUAUAUGUAUAACUUUUCUGUACCUAUAUGUAUAACUUUUCUGUACCUACAUCUAUAACAUUUCUGUAACUAUAUGUAUAACUUUUCUGUACCUAAAUGAUAACUUUUCUGUACCUAUAUGUAUAACUUUUUUGUACCUACAUCUAUAACUUUUCUGUACCUAAAUGAUAACUUUUCUGUACCUAUAUGUAUAACUUUUCUGUACCUACAUCUAUAACUUUUCUGUACCUAAAUGAUAACUUUUCUGUACCUAUAUGUAUAACUUUUUUGUACCUAAAUGAUAACUUUAUUAUAACUUUUUGAUAACUUUUUUAUACCUAUUUAUUUUUAUGAAAAAAAUAAAUUGUCAAUAGUUACACUCUAGUUAUGACUUUUUUGUACCUAAGCAAAAAGUUACAAUAUAGGUAUAACUUUUUGAUGCUAAUUUGGAACCAUAAUUGAUCAGAUGGUUCCAAAUUGUGCUAUCUUAGUUAUGACUUUUUUGUAACUUUUUUAAGGGCUCAUAGGUAUAACUUUUUAGUGCUUUUUUUUGGUAUGGGUAUGAAUCUUAAAUUCACCAGAUCACCUAUUCUAAAAGACUUCUAUAGCUGCUAAUGUACAAAUUUUACUCCAGCUUUUUGAAUUUCAAGUUUUGUGUUUUACAGAUUUAUAAUUCAAAGCACAAAAUAAACUGUUAUAAUUAGUAUUGGUGUUACAAGUAAAAAUAUAAUAAUCGCACAUGUUGUUUUAACAAAUAAUUGACACUUGACAGUUUUGUGCUCCUGUUUUGAGGAGAUAUAUACUAUGAGUGGGGCUGAUUGGCUUCUUCUUAGGUGUGUUGCAUGCUGAGGUAGUAACACAGUCACACUUUAUUUUUCACAAUUUUCUUGCCCCAUUUUCACAUUUACCAAAUAACCAGAAAAUGGAACUUUUGAUAUCAUGUUUAUGAUAACUGUACAGAUGCACCUAUACCUGACUAAAGCCUUAAAAACAAUUAAAAUAACAAUGGUGUAUGAAUGAACCAUGUUUUGAGUAUUCAUAAGAGGAUAAUUAAUGCAUUACUGACCAGUCAAAACUUGUUAAAAUCAAAGAACAUUGUAAAAUGUCAUAAAGCUGACAAGGUGUACUAUUGUCUACAUCCCUACAGAUUUAACUAAGACUAAUGUCUAAGUUUGAAGUACUAUAAUAUGUGGUUGUACUUUAUUUCCCAGUAUUUCCCGGGAAUAACCAGUAAUUCCCGGAAAUUACCAGUAUUUCCCACCGUCCUGGGAAAUAUGAGUAUUUCCCGCUUUUUUGCCAACCCUGCUUCCAUAAGAUCAGAGGUUGACUCGUGUGUAUAUAAACACAGUAAAACGUCACACAGAGACACAGGGUUGCAUGCGCUACCGUACGAGUCAUGCCUCCAGGCUAGGUUACUAUCCCCUGGUUAACAGCGGUUAGUACACAUGGCAGGGGAGUAAUAAAAACGAUCUUUAAUUAAUCCGGUCAUACUGAAUAAAUUGGUCUGAAAAUUUUGAUGCUAUUUCAGACAUUUUCUUACGAUGUUUUUAUGAAAUGCAUUUUAUUUCCCUUUUGUUUAAAACUGUGAAAUAAGAUUAAAGGCUACUAUAUGAUAACGUUAUUGGUUUACACCAUUUAUUCAUUCAAACUAGCAGUAAUUUUUCGACCAAUUCUUCUAAGUCUACCUAUCUAUACUUCUUUUUUUUGCUAAAACGGGCUCCUUCGCCCUAUAAACAGCAUCGACCUAAUUUUCGAAAAAUACAGUACUCUAAAUAUCUUAACUAAUAAAGCUUUAUAUCUCAUUCUAGAAAAAAUAAUCUUACUGUGACCAGGCUACGCUCAGGUCACAGUAAGAAUUCAUCCCAUACAGUUGCAAUGUAGCAGCCGCAAAGCGAAUCUGCUACAUGUCGAUUUUAAGUCUGUUAAAAAUAAUCUGCAGGGGAAAAACACAUUUUCAUACACAACAAACCUUUUUGAACAUGCAUAUGAAGUUAAAUCCACAAAACAAUUUAUUUGAUAGGUCGUACCAUGGCAUUUUGGGAUUUUACCAUUAACAUGGUGAUCAUAAACAGCGAAUUUUCAAACGUUAUGUUUGUUGCAAAAACAGUGAAUGUGGUAAAAUGGGAUUAUAAGAGAGCAACAUUGUAGGUAUUUGAGAUAUAUCAUAUGAAAAUUUAGGCGAGAUACAGCUCGAUAUUUUUUUUUUAUUUGCUACGAAGCGAGUAUAUGGGACGGAUUCUAUCGUUAAACUGGGUCCGAAGAAUUCUGUCAUUUUAACGAUAGAUCAUUCUAUCUAAUCUUAUUCAAACUAUAUAUAGCUAGAUCAGAGGAUUGUACUGGACCUGUAUCAUACUUGCCAACUGACCGAUUUCGUCAGGUCACACCCGAUUUUUCAACCCUUCACCCGAUUAUUUUUUAUGACCCGGUGGGUCAUGCUUUUCACCCGAUUUUUGUCAAACAACCCGAAAAUCUCCCGAUUUCCGGAUUUGGUUCGUAAAUUACGUUGCGCGUUUGACUUCCAGUUAUGAACCCAAGCUGAGUUUGGAUUUACGUAACGCGUAAACAAUGCCGAUGGCUAUAAUAGACACAUUAAGUGUAAUUAUUAUCGUGAGUUGUUUUGUUUAAGCGAAGGUUUAAAUCAUUAAAUGUGAUGGCUUCCAAUAAGAAAAGGUCUUCAUCGGGGCCAGCGGAAUCAAAACCAACAAAAAGAAAACGAUAUUUUUGUACCUAUCAACAUAUCUGGGAAAAUGAAUUCCCAUCUAUAGGUGAAACAAAGUAAUCGAGUACAAAACGAGGCUUUUGCGUUCUAUGUUACGCACAUUUGAAUAUUGGAUUUUGUGCCCAAAAUGAUCUGACUAAACAUGCAAAAACGCUAAGUCGUCACUCAUGUAUAGAAUGCUUUUUAAUGCACAAAAGUCUUCCAAGUCACUUACAACUUUCAUGCCAUCAUUUACAGAGUUUAAAAGCAAGGUUAAUGUAGCAGAAACUCUUUUUGCAUUUUUUUUAGCUGAACACAACCUACCAUUUUCUGUGUCAGAUCACUUUACAAAAUUCAAAAUCAGCAACUGUUAGUUAAAAUGCUUCUUUGCAAUAAAGUAUUACACAUAAGUUUUAACACAUAUUUCUAUUGUAUAUACCUAUGAAAUGCAUGAUAAACAUGUUGUGAAUGUCGUUACGCGCUAUGACCAGAUUUUUUACUUUCCAAAUCUGGUCAUGACCAGAUUUUCACAUGUUGGAGGUUGGCAAGUAUGACCUGUAUAUUAUAACAAUU